rnacentral:misc_RNA from 1 species
GCACGCCGUGUGCGUUAAAAGGCGCCCGCACGGUGUAGGCUCGUAACGAAAACCAUUUCGUUAAAAU